rnacentral:lncRNA from 1 species
AACCUUGAUCUUAUUAAAACAAAAAAGAAGAUAUUAACUUCAUAGUCUCAACGAAGUGUGGUCAGGAAUAUCAUAUCUAGAUGAUAUUUUCAUAUCAAAGGAGCCAAUACAUCCAGAUGAUUUCAGUACUAUGGACAUGUGAGAGAGUAACAGGUUUCAGAUGGCUUGAUAAUCAUAUCUUCUGAACUGUGAAUUUGGGUUGUUAUGUCAAGAUUCAAAGAUACAUGAAAUUUUGGAUAAACAAUAAGCUCUAGAUGUUUGGAGAAAUAUUUUUUUUCCAUGGAACGGGAAGAAUAGGCAGUUCUUGGAGCAUCUUUGGGAGCAUGAUAGCGAUUAGCCAAUUAAGUUGUAUAAAAAUCCUGUUGUACAAAAUCUUUGAUUAGCCAAGUAAGUUGUAUGGUGAUCCUGCUGUACAUUAUCCAUCUAUUCCAUUCUAUGGCUUUUGAUAGUCAGAAAGAUUCAAGUAAAAUUAAGUUUGCUAGUUUUAAUUGUGAGUAGUUAGAAAAGGGACCAAUGAGACAGUAAUAAUGUCCAUCAACUAGGCCUUUGAUGUUUAAGAUGAACUACUUCUUAGGUACUUUUGAGGAACAAAUUGCAACUUUUGUGUUGUUACUUCUCUAGAAGUUACAUGCUACAAAUAUCUGAAAUUUAUUAUACAUGUAUAAUUUUCACAUGUAAAAGCUGUGCAAGGACCACCAUCCAAGUAACUAGAGGGUUUGCUAUCUCAGAGUAUUUUCCCUUACGUCAAGGAUUUGAUAUCCAAGGAAAGCUCCUGGUUCACAUGUCUCACCUUUGUCUCCUAUAUUAUAUAUAUAUAUAUAUAUAUGUAUGUAUGUAUGUAGAGCAGGAAAAAUAAAAAAAAAACUAUGCAAGGCAUCUGCACAUUUUGCAGCUGUGUGUGUGUGUGUGUGUGUGGAGCAGGAAAAAUAAAAAAAACUAUGCAAGGCAUCUGCACAUUUUGCAGCUUGGAUCUUUUUAUGGUAUCUUGUUUGCUGUGCAUCAGUUGACAUACUUCAGUUUUAAGCAGCAAAAUUUAUGACCAAUGAUGAUGCUCUGUUAAUGGUGACCUUUCGGCUUUAGUUUUAAUGUUUUAUUAGUCAAACUAAAUAUUUAAAAAUAUCUGCCAUUCCACAUGUACUCAAAUAUGAAUGGUGCAUUUUCAAUUCCAAGUGAAAUUUGUCAGUUUCCUUGUUGUUGAGACUAUCUCAAGGUUUAAAACACUGCUUCUUCACUAAAUUAGCUUAAACUCUGACAAAUGCUCUAGAUCUUUGUAACUGCCUGUUGCUUUGGUUAUUUUCAUUCUGAGCUCCUCCUUUUCCAAAGCCCUUUUUGAGGAACACAAACCAUUCCUACAGUUUGCUGAUUUUUUAAAUUCUAUUAUGAUCAUCUAAGGAGUGCCUUUGGUUCAGUCUAUUUUUGUAUAGGUGGCACCUUAUAAAAAAAGGUUGGAUGUAUGAUAAUUGCACCUUAUAAAAAGUGAAGAGUAGAAGUCUAUUUUUUUUGGUUAAUUUUUUUUGGCACCUUAUAUUGUCUAAUUUGACUUCUAUGAGAUCCUAGAAGAUUUAUGAUAUGAUGUGUAUCACACACUGCAUGAUAAUUUAACAGGAAAAUACUAAAGUUUGGUUUUUCAACUGACCCAGCUGCUGUCGAUAUUCCAACUUAGCUUAUGGAAGGUUUGCUUUUGGCAGUAAUAUACAUUAAUGGCUGCUACUUUUUGAUAUAUCUAAGCUUCUUGUUGCAUAUCUUUGGUGAGUAAGGGUAUGCUCAGAUCAAAUCUGUAAAAAGCUCAUGCUAUCUCGAAGAAGAAUAGUGACAAUAAAUAUGCUGAUGGUUACAUCAUGAAUCUAUAGAUAAUAAGCCAUUGGACAGACUGUUAAGAGGCAUUUAUGCAGGCUUUAAAAAGAUAGAUACAAAAGGAAUUAAUUGGGAGAAAAUAAAUAUGAUAAAAAAAUUAGUGGAACCUUAGACCAUCUAGUCAAGGAAACACCUACUUGGUUAGUUCAAUAAUUUGCAUUACAUUGUCCUUUCUCUUGGUCAUUCACAUCUCCUUUAAAUGAUGAUAGCUGGACUAUCCUUAAUAAUGUUUUUUUUAUAUCUUGUUCUCUCUUAUCUAUUGUGUUUUUUUUUUUUUGCUUUGAUAAUAACUUCAAGCAAUCUCUAUUUUUUUAAUUUCAUUGUUUCAUUUUUCUAAUGAUUUUGUUUCUCUCUAGAUUUUCUAUAUAUAUUUUUAAUAUGCUAAUUCUUUUGCCAAGUAGUCCCCAAUGCUUAAUGCAAGAUUGAAGUCAUUAAAUUCUAGAACUUAAAGAGGACUAAGUGCUACGAACCUUGAUAUAUGAUAAUAGCCUGAAUGCCUCGCCUCGUAAUAGGAGGGUCGAGUGAGGCGUUUGAAGGGGGCGCUACUUGGGCGUGCGCUUGGGCCUCGGUGUUGGGCAACUCGGGCGCCCACUCAAUCAAAUCGAGUUCAGGUUCAACCAAUUUCACAUAGUUGGCUCAAUAUCGAACCAACUAAUUACAACACUUACCUCCCCGGCAUGCCUGACCUAGUGUAAGGAAUCAUAAACCCUAUCGCGAGUCGCUUAGACCCUAUGUCGUCGGAUUGUGAGAGUUCUUCACCUUGUGUUGCCAGACUGCAAGCUACCUCCUCUCUACGUUGCUGGACAACAAGCCUCCUCCGCCCUACGUCGUCGAAUCGUGAGCUUCCUUCACCCUACGUCGAUAGAUCGAAAGUUUCCUCUACUUUUCACCAUUCGGUUGCAAGCCUCCUUUGCCUAACACCGUUAGAUCGCAAGCCUCUUCCUCCCUAUGUCAUCGGACCGCGAGCCUCCUUUGCCCUACGCUGUUAGACCAUGAGCCUCCUUCGCCCUAUGUCGUAGGAUCGCGAACCUCCUCCCCAUACAUCGUCGUCUGUAGCUUCCUUUCUUUGUUGUGUGAGCUUACGACAUUGACCAACUUUGUUUGACUAUUAGUUGUGAUUAACACAAUGAUUUAAAAAACGCUAGGCUCUAAAUGAUGCCAAGGUUCCAAAACGCCCAAGGCGCUCGCACGAGCAAAACGAGGUGCUAAAAUAUAAAAAAUAUAUAAUAUAAUUAAUAAAUAUAAUUAUUUAAAUAAAAAUAUGAUAUAAAAUUAAGAAAAUCUUAAGUAUAAAGUCACAAUAUCACAUUAACAAAAGUCUCAAAAUUUAAAACAAUAAAUAAAUUUAGUAGUAUUAAAAUUAAAAUAAUAUAUUAUUAAUAUAAUAAAUAAAAAAAUACUGUUAAUAGUAUACUGUUAGUGUUAACAGUAUACUGAGUCGAGUGUGAGAAGAGAAGAGACCGAGGCUGCUGACUGAGAGCUAGCGAUUUCAAUAGGCGCUCGCUUAGGCGCUCGGGCGAGGCGAGGCCCGAGCGCUUUGCUUCAAAGAGGCGCCGCUUAGGCGCUCGCCCGAGCCCAGGCGUCGGGCGCUUCGGGUGAGUGCCCGGGUUAAACCAGGCGAUCGAACUAGUGUUUUACGUUUCGUUUAGUCUCCGGUGCUUCAGUUGGUUCGAUUGAACCAACUAAAGCAUCGAUAUCAGCCUCCUAACAUCCCUCUCGCGACUUCCCCAACCCUAAUCCUGCUCGCGAUUCUGCCGCUGACAUUUCCUCUCUACUACCGCUGCCUCUCUUUGCUAUCGUUGCCUGUCUUCGUUGUCGCUGCUCUCUACUGCAACUGCCACUGCUUGUCGCUGCCGUCGUUGCUCACUAUCGCUGCUCGUCGUCGCUGUUGCUGUUGUCACUAUCGCCGCUCCCGCUCCUGCUCCUACUACCAUUGCUGCUUCUCUCAGUCAGCAGCCUCAGUCUUACUCUUACACCGCUGCUGCUGCUCGCUGCUACCGUUAUCGUUGUCGUUGCCACUAUUGCUGCUGUCGCUGCUUGCCACUAUCGUUGCUCCCGCUCCCAUUGCUGCUACUGUUACUCUUACUCCCUCUACUCACAUCGACUCGAUAGUAUACUAUGAACGGUAUAUUAACAGUAUAUUGUUAACUGUAUAUUAGUAACAAUAUUUUUUUAUUUAUUAGAUUAAUAAUAUAUUAUUUUGAUUUUAAUACUGCUAAUUUUUAUUUAUUUGAAAUUAUUGUUAUUGUUUUGAAAUUUGAGUUUUUUUGUUAAUGUGAUAUUAUGAUUGUAUAAGAUUUUUUUAAAAAUUUAAUAUCAUAUUUUUAUUUAAAUAAUUAUAUUAAUUAAUUAAUUUAUAUAUUUUUAUAUUUUAAUGUCUUGUUUCGUUCGAGCGAGCGCCUUAGGCGUUUUUGCACCUUGGCGCCUUUUGGUGCCUAAUGCUUUUUAAAUCACUGCUGAGAGCAAUGAUGAGCAGUAAUAGUGGCAACGACGAGUAGCGACAUUGACAACGACAGUGGUAGCGGAGAGCGGUGAUAGCGGAGAGUAGCGACAAAGGUAGCGGUAGCGGCAGUUGAGAGAGGCAGAGCGGAGAGCAGCGACAAUGGAGAGUAGUGAUAGCGAUAGCGACAGUGGUAGCAGAAAGAAAAUGUCGGUGGCGGGAGUCGGGUUAGGGUCGGGGAAGUCGUGAGGGGCAGCGGAGAGAGGUUGAUAUCGGUGCUUUAGUUGGUUUGAUUGAACCAACUAAUGUAAUUGCAACCAAACCAGAGCUAACAUGCUGGUUCUGUUGCCUGAUUUAACCCGGGCGCUCUCUCGAAAUGCUUGGCGUUUGGGCUCGGGCAAGCGCCUAGGCGGCCCCUCUUUAAACAAGAUGCUUUUGGAGCAGUUUAAUUCUAGCAUAGGUCUUCAUAAACAUGUUUAGCAUAUUUCUAUUUAGCUGCAUAUUAUUUUAAUUAUAAUAUUUGGGAGCACCUCAUUUCGCUCGGGCAAGUGCUCGAUGCCUUGGGCAUUUUGGGACUUUGGCGUCUUUUGAUGCCUAGUGCUUUUAAAAUCACUGUUAUGGACAAUGACCUAUUCAAAUUGUGGAACAGUGCCAUGUCAUCAUGACAUAUGUGAAGUGCUGUGGUUAUUGGUCAACUAAUAGAUAGUUAUUUGAAGUUUGUCCUAAACAAAUAACAAAUAUUCUCUUCCACUUUUAUUCUUUUGCACCAAGAAGUUAAAGAGAGAUUAAUGAGGUUGUAGUAUCAUUCUUAAUUUUGCCUUAUAGAAUGUAUUUGUGUUAGAUAUGGUAUUUGUUCAAGUCCAUCAUUGCAUUUUGAGUUGAAAAAAGAAGACAGGCCUCCCCUGGGAAUUAUAGUGAGAAAUUGGAAUCUAUUUGGUGAAUUAUGUCAUAGAAUUCCCACUUUCCAGCUUGGUGCAUUUGACUUGUAUUUCUUACAUCUAUGAUCUAUCUACUAUGGUUGUUUGAUAUUUAACUGAUACUUAAGUGUUAAAAGUUACUGAUUAUGUAGAUGCAUUUAUAUAAAUUUAAUAUUUUGGUUUAAAUGUAAGAUUUUUAUGUUACGAUAAACUUUCUCCUAUCAUAUAGUAUACAAUAAGUUCAGUGAAUUUGUGUAUGUUGGCCUAUAUAUUUUUGCAUGCACAUUACCUUUGUAAAGCUUCUAUAUUUAAUUGUUUGUAUUAUUUAGUUGUAUGUAAUAUGAGUUUUUCCCAUGUUUAAUACUCUACAAUAAGCAUAUAUUUACAAAGUAUGCCAUAUAUAACGAUGUUAUCUUAUCUACGUAUAGCACUCUACCAUCAGACAGUUCUUGGAAGUCAUAACAGUAUUGGGCAAACUGAGGCCUUAUUUUCUACAAAUUCUUUGAUCAAACGCCCUAGACUUGAAACCGGAAGCAAUCUUCCAAUCUAUCCUCAGCGACCAGGAGAAAAGGAUUGUGCUUACUAUAUGAUGACAAGAACCUGUAAAUAUGGUGAUACCUGCAAGUUCGAUCAUCCUCUUUGGGUUCCUGAGGGUGGAAUACCGGAUUGGAAAGAGGUGACUUUUGGUUAAUCUUAUUCGUACUUUUGCAGGCAAUAACUACAUAUACGAUCUUUUUGUAUGUAGAUAUGUCCUACAUCCUAUUUAAUCUAUGUUCUUCUGUGGAUAUGUGUAUAACAAUUUGGUUACUUAUACUAUAUUGUCCUUAUGUGGAUAUGUGUAGUCGUGUUGAACAGUUUGGUUACUUAUACUAUAUUGUCAUUUAUCUACUUAUUUGAUAUUUUAAAUAUUUUAAUACAAGAUAAGUAUAAUUCUCUAUUUUAAUAAACUAGAACUCAUGUAAUUUGUACAAAAAUUCUGCCUUCUGUACCAGGAAAGUAUUAACUUCUUUGGAUAUUUAUUGGUGCUAUAAGGUGAGUAUUUUCAUACCCAUUAAUAAAGUCCUUUUGAUAGGACAAAUAGUUGACUCAGCUUCUUCAGAAUGUAUCUUUCCUCGGAAGUCUUGGUUCUCACCAAGAGAUUUGUUUGAUCUGGAAAUUAGUUAAUAUAUAUUUAUCACGAAUUUCAUCUAAAUUUUGUUUCAUUGAUGAUGAAAAGUAACGAGGAAUGCAUAUUUUAAGGUGUUAUGCCCUUUGUAAAACCAGCAGAACACAAAAACUAGAUAUAUAUGAUUUUUAUCUGUACUUGUGCUGAUGUCAGAUCAUUUUUCUUUUAAAAACUCAUUUUAAGGUGAAGCUUUCCUCUUUGUUAGCCAUUAUUCUCACUGUGUGCAUCAAAAUUCAAAUAGUAGCCGUGAGAUUAAGUCAAAGUUUGAUGCUUGUUACUGGGGUUAUUUCUGUGCUUCUUGUGAAGUCCACCACUUGAUCCAUGAUACAUGAUUACUAACAAGUAAAUCUAGAUGAUUUUUACCUUGUAGUGCUUAUCUAAAGAGAAGUAUACUUAAUUUUUGUUGUUUGUUUAUGUGUGAAGGUAAUUUUUUACGACAAAACAUGUUCAUCAAAUUGUGAUUAAGAGUAUGGUUAAUGGGUAUAUCUUUCUGUGAACAUUUAUCUUGGUCAUGUGCAUAUACAAUUUGAACACUUUUUUUAACAUUUAUUUUUUCUCACAAAAUGGUUGUUUUUGGGAACUUAUCAUAUCUGCACUGAGUUAGUCUUUCUUUGAACCACUGAGAUCCAUAGCUAUUAUAUAUUCACAUUGUUUGCUUGAGGUUCACAUCCUGUAUUUUCUUCCCCUAAGAGUUGGACCUGUAUCAGUGGAUUAAUUUCUUGCCAUUGUUACAUCAUGACAUGCCAAGAAUUUAAAAGGCAUGAUGCGAUAUGCUGUUUUUGCUAUACAUCAGUUGGGGUUGCCUACAAUAAUUUACUAUGAAAUAUAUAUUAAAUGUUAAUAUUUUUGAAGUAGUUGAUGGCAAUAUAUAUCUGGUCUCUGUUUCUUUGAAAUGAUGUUGUUUCUAUGGAAGUUUCAACCAAUGGAACUGAGAUAUUGAAUUGUGGAUCAGAAUGUUGUUUAAUUUUGUAUCAUAGAUGCACUGCUUUUGAAAUAGACCAUUAUUAGUUACUAGUUUGCGUUAAUUAAGUUGUUUUAACAUCAAAUGGAUCUCUGUAAUUGAUCAAACAAAAUUUCUACUCUUCUUCCCAUCUUAACCAAUACUGAUGCCAUAUGAUCUACCUCAAAUUUUCUAAUGGUUUUGGUUUUUCACAGUAAGCCAGUUCAUCAAUGUUGUUAGGUGCUUGGAAAAUUAAUUACUUUAUAACUUUUUAAUUAUUUAAUCAUGAGCUUACAAUUCCUGUAAAAUGAAUAGAAAUUUCUUUGUGGGUAUACCGUGGCAUCUAUUGACUGUGCAAGUGAUAUUACAUUAUUUAUGAAAUUCUUUUUUUAUCUGAUUAUGCUUUUCUGCAGAUUCCACUUAUCCCCACUAGUGAAUCUCUUCCAGAGAGACCAGGAGAACCUGAUUGUCCUGUUAGUAGUUCCUGAUGUAUUCAUGAUAUUUGUUUGCUUUGCUUGUUACUGGAAGCCCUUUUGUCAUGUAUUUUCUUUUUCUUUAAUUUGCAGUACUACAUGAAGACACAGAAAUGUAAGUUUGGAAUUCGUUGUAAGUUCAACCAUCCAAAGGAAAAUGGAAAUGCUUCUGCAGGUGAACUAGGUGCAGAGGUAAGUGAUGCCAUCCACUUUAUUUACUUAUAUAUUUGAUCUGUGUUUAUGUGUUGUAUGAGCGGGCUUGUCACCCUCCUUUCCGUCAAUGAUUUCUGUGCGAAGCUGCAGGUUUCUGAAACUGCUGAUAUCUCAAUCUUACCUGAGAGGCCAUCUGAGCCAGUUUGCACUGUAAUUUUUUCUUUGCACAUUGCAUUAUUUCCUUUGAUUAUUUAUUGUCAUAUUUAAUCUAAAUUAAUUUAUGCCACAGUUCUACAUGAAAACUGGAAAAUGCAGUUUUGGCACAAGCUGCAAGUUUCAUCAUCCAAAGGAUCUUCAAAUACUAUCAAACAUACAAGAUAGUGUGAGGCAUGGACAGCUAGAACCACAAGGGCAGAAUAGCAAGACAUAUGUUCCCUUCACCCCUGCAUUAAUGCAUAAUUCAAAAGGAUUGCCCAUUCGUCCGGUAAAAUUGAAGUAUCAUAUUUAUUUAGUAAUUUAUGGUUAUAUUUAAUAGUAACAGUUAGUGAUUACAAUAGGCGCUCGGGCGAGGCGAGGCCCGAGCGUCUCGCUUCAUUUCCAGGCGACGCGCUUCAAAGAGGCGUCGCUUGGGCGCUCGCCCGAGCCUAGGCGCGGGGCGCUUCGGGCGAGCGCCUGGGUUAAACCAGGUGACCGAACCAGAUUUUUAGGUCUGGUUGGUCUCCGGUGCUUUAGUUGGUUCAAUCGAACCAACUAAAUCACCGAUAUUAGGCUCCCUCUCGUAAUUUUCCCGACUUCCCCAACCCUAACACACGCGAUUUUGUUAUCGAGAUUUCUUCUUCGCUGUCGUUGCUCUUUGCUGCCACUGCUACUAUCGCUGCUCGCUGUUACUGACGCUACUCACCGUUGCCAUAAUCGUUGCUCGCCGAUUGCUUGUUGCUACCACAAUCGUUGCUCGCCGUUGCUGUCAUCGUUUGCCGCUGCUGUCGCCACUCCCACUGUCGCUCGUCGCUCCCACUCUCGUCAUCGCUCGUCACUCUCGUUGUCGUCGUCGCUCGCCGCUCCCACUCGCUCUAGCUACGGUUGUCUGCUACCGCUGCCGUUGCCUCAGCCUCGGUCUUCUCACACUCUUCUCACUAUACUGUUAACUAUAUAUUAACAGUAUACUAAUAAUAGUAUUUUUAUUUAUUAGAUUAAUAAUAUAUUAUUUUGAUUUUAAUACUAUUAAAUUUUAUUUAUUUAGUAAUAUUUUUAUUUAAAAAAUAAAAAUACUAUUAUGAUUUAUUUAUUUAUUAUGAUUUUGUACCUGAUUUUUUUAAUUUAAUAGUAUUUUUUUAUUUAAAUAAUUAUAUUUAUUAAUUAUAUUAUAUAUUUUUAUAUUUUAGCGCCUCGCUUCGCUCGGGCGAGCGCCUAGCGCCUCAAGCGUUUUUGGACUUUGGCGUCUUUUGACGCCUGGUGCUUUUUAAAUCACUGGUAACAGUAUAACUUGAAAAAGCAGAACUUUGAGUUUCUCCAUGGCAUCUAUUAUUAUAUAGCUUUUUAGAUCUUUGUCCUGUGCACUGGGACUGCCCAUUUUUAUGAUAAGUAGCCAUUUAUUUCGAGUGCUUUUCUACUAGCAAGUGGAAUUGGAUUCUUAAUCUAUGCAUUAAUUUUAAAUCCCUGUGCAUUUAAUUUUGCCUCAUAUUGUAGGGUGAACCAGAUUGCCCAUUUUACCUCAAAACUGGAAGGUACAGGACUUCUGUAGAACUAUAAUUAUUCGUCUCACUUUCUGGUUUUCUUUUGAAGCCUGAUUAUGCCUUUAUGAUUUAUUUGCCACUCAGCUGCAAAUAUGGUUCUACUUGUCGCUACACUCAUCCUGAAAGAAUCAGUAUGCUAUUUUCACACUUAUCAUAUACAUUUUGCAUUGUAAUUGACAAUUAUACUGAUUUAUUGAAGCCAAAAAAAUACUAUAGCAACUUCUCUCUCUCUCUCUCUCUUUUCUCUUUUCUUAAACAGUUAAUCCAUCAUUGGUGGCUGGUCUGGGACAAAGUUUUCUGCCUUCUGCAGCAGCCAAUCUUUCAUUUGGUGGCCUAAAUCCUGCUGCUAAUUUUCUUCAGAAUAUUGAUCUGCGGUCAGCCCAAGCAUCGGUAAGAUGAAAAAUCCCAGUGUUUGAUGAUGCAUCCAUUGGUGUCUUACGAGGAACCUUAUUUGUGUUAGAUAUGUUGAUUCCUAAUUUUUCUAAUGCAGAUCAGUGUCAUCCCAACAAUCUAUCCUCAAAGGCCUGGGGAAUUGGAAUGUGAUGUAUGUUAUUGUUUAUAUCCUUUGGGAUCACAUAAUUACCCAUUAAUAUGACAUUCAAAUUAGUUACUGCUUUGGCAAUAAUGCUGGAUGUAGCUACUAUUUCCAUAGGUAGCAUAUUGUCAGUCCUCAACUUUUUUGUCCCUAAGCUCUAUGGUACUUUUUUUAUUUGGAUAAUUUUUUCAGUGAAAUAAUGGCAUUUCAAUUGAUUUGAUUCUUUUUCCUAGAUAAUAUGUUUGUUUGUCGUGUCUAUAUCAUAUUUAGCUUCAGACCCUAGGAUUUAUUGUAAUUUAAUCAUACGUAUAUCCUAUGUUUAUGAUGGCAUAAGUAAUCAAUAAUCAGAUGUUGCUUAAGAUUAUCUAAUUAUGUCUUUCCUGGUUAGACAUUAUAUUUUAUAGUGAGGAUCUCUAAGUGUUGCCAUUUCCUAUCCAAUUCUCUCUUGCAUGGUUAUUUAAUCAUCUUUAUGAUUGUAGUCUUCUCAUAGGAUCUUUUCAUGUGCUUUUGAGGAUGCAGUUCUAUAUGAAGACUGGACAGUGCAAAUUUGGAGAAAGAUGCAAGUUUCACCACCCUAUUGACCGGUCAGCACCAACUUCAGUAUUGAAGCAGACUCCUCAGCAAACAGUAAAGCUUACUCUUGCUGGGUUGCCACGAAGAGAGGUAUUAUGUUGGAACCACUGAUUUAUGUUUGCUUUAUUAAGUUGAUUGGUUCAUAUCUGUUGCAGCAAAAUUUAGUUUCCUCAGUGAUUAGUCAAAUACUUGUUCAUUUAGAAAAAAUUGUUACACAUUUAAUAUGGAAUUUCCAUUGGUUUUUGCCGUUAUCUAAUAUGCCAUUCGGCUUUUGAUUUAUUAAGGUUAUGGUUGAUUUUUGGGUGAAGACUUGGUUGGCUUAAUCCAUGCAAAGUUACUUGGUCAAUGCACUUGCUUACUUUUUGCUAGGUUUAGCCAUUUUUGCAAGAACAAUGUGUUGUAGAUUAAUUCUUUCCUACCUGAUGUUGGGGAUUGACAUGGUCUUGGUACAUAGGACAUUCGACACAUGGUCAGGCACAUGGUAUUCCAAUAUACUGGUUGGCAUAGGUUCAGCUUGUCUGGACUAGUUGGAGCAAACAAAACUCAAGUAUUUUUUUUAAUGAUUUCUACCUUAUUAAAGCCAAAAAUUAUAAAAUAUAGGUGAAAUCGACUAUAAAACAAUAAAUGAUUAAUCAAGUUAUGUUUCAGAUAUAGAAUACAAACUGUAUUAAAGAAAACAUGUAUACGAUAGUUGUAAACAUGAGUUUUUUGGUCUAAAAUUUGAUAUCAUUUUUUUAUAUUACAACUAUUACUACUACCAAAUUAAUCAUCUUGAGUCAACGAGAGGUGGUUCAGAAUCCUUGAUGUGACUUCAUUGUACAUAAGUAUGUAGGUCUGAUGGACCUGUGCACAGAAUUGUGCUCAUGACAUCAGAUACUGGUAGAUAAUGUGCACUGAUGUAAUAAUAUAGUGACAAUCGAGUUAUCAUCAUCAUUAACAUCUUAUGUGGAAGGAGGUAUCUUAAGCAAGGAUGAAUGUGGUAAAUACAACUCUGCAAGAUGCGGUAUACCAGAGCUGCAACUGUCAUCACUAUACUGGAACUGUCAUAUGAUGCAUCCAACAUCAAGAAAAACUAUUGUGCAUGAGAUCUAUGCUAGUAAGAAGGUUGUGAAUACGAGGAAUUCCUAUCGGACUUGACAUCAUUAUGAAAUUUGUUUGUCUCUUCUCGACAUGGUCAUCAACUGAUUUUCCUUUUUCUUUAUCCUUUCGUGUGGGAUUCACUUGUGUUAUGAUUCACAUCUUGGAUGACAUGACUGAAAUAUUAUUUCGUAUAGAUCUAAACUUGAUUUUUGUGGAUCUAGGUUCCAAAUUCCUCAAAGAAAACAAGGCACCAUGAACUCUUCCUUCAAUUCAUGAAAUUACUUCACAGGUCUAGCCUAGAUUCACAAAGUUCAAGGCUUGAUCCUAGUAGAUCUAGUCCCAUGUUGGAUGAGGAAAACACCCUGUGCCCCAAACUAAAUUCAUGAAAUUACUUCUUACAGUCAAUCCUAAACUAAUUGUGUAGGCCUUGGUCCAUAUGCCGGUUUAGCUCAAUAAGUAGUGGGCAGUACAUAUUGGUCCACCUGAUUUAAUUCCUUGAUUUUAACCUUCUCUUGUUAGGUUAGAUCUUUGGUUAAAUAAUCUUGCUUAAGUUUACUUAGUUAAGUCAGUUUAGCCCCACAUCAUUUUUUGACCCAGCUUUGUGCUGAGCUAAGUGCAACUGAAAGUGUAUGAAUGAGAGCAGCGAUGUUCUCAACACUGGAAUUUCUAUGUCGGUUGUCAGUUAAUGUUGUAUUUGAAUACAAGAAAAUUUGUGAUUACACUUAAGAUUCCAACAAAAUAGUUGCAUUCUUGCCUUACUUACAAACAUGUGUCAGUAAACUUCAUGUUAUUUUAUUUGUUGGAUUUGGUUACACUUGCAUGUCUUUGUUGAAAUUCCCACAAGAUAUACAUCACAUACUCCUAGUACCAAAAUUUCAUGCUAAUGUUCUUACAUAGAGUGUUAUUGUACUUCCAUCUGUCUUGUUCUUACUCCUGGUACCAUCAUUUGGCUAUACCUAGUGUCACUUCAGAUUUUUGCUCGUCAUUAUUGGACAAGCAUCCAAUUCAAUGCUCUUUAUUAACAGAAGCAUUAGCCUCAAAUAUGUAAGUAAAUCUUUGGUUUUUGUGGAGAAUAUUUUAGCAAUUUUAAUUUAUCCAUUAUGCUAUGAGUUCUUAAGCAUGGCAAAUAAUUGAAAGUUUGAUUGUAUUGGAAGGGUACUCAAAUCUGCUGUAGUCAAGUAUUCAGUUGCACUACCACGCUUUGAGGUAAAAUUGCUGAUGAGGCCAAUGUCAUUGCAGGGUGCAGUUAUAUGUUCCUUUUACAUGAAGACAGGCACAUGCAAGUUUGGCGCUGCAUGCAAGUUUGAUCACCCUCCUCCAGGGGAGGCUAUAGCCAUGGCAACCAUUCAAGGAACUGCUGAGGGAGAGGAAACGAAAGAUGCACCAGAGGUUCAGCAAUAGAAGCCCAUGGCACGGCGCCCUGCCUGGCAAUCUGUCAUUUAGGGACUGCAUUUUGAAUUCUGUAGACGUUGCUGCUCCCAGUCAUCUGAUGAACUCUGAACAACUGUACUGGUUAUUUUGGUAAUGCUAAUGUGGUUGUGCGACGUAGUUUCAGCUAAUCUAUUAAAAAAGGAUGAAGACUGCCUUUCCGGCUAAUGGAAAGGUCCGGUCUGUGGCGUGUGUUGCAUGACCAGUCUUAACAAAUCUGACAUGGUUGUGUUUGAGAUAGUAAUUCUUCAUGCGUUCAGUUUCACCGUAAGUGUUCAAAUGCUCGUCAAUAAAUGUCUCUAUUUUCUUCUAUGUACGUCAUCUCAUGUAACCGGAGAAGCAUUUCACGGUGGGUUUGCCAAUUACAAUCUUUGCAAUUUUUGUGCUAGGUGGGCAAAUUGAAACCAAAGCUCGAUUUAACACUUCAGCAUAUGUUGGUAAAAUCAAUACUGCAACAGACUUUCUAAUUGAUGAUCAAAGUUUCCUCUCAAAAUGACGAGUUCUUUGACUUUCAUUAAAAGCAAUAUGUGGAGAGAACUGAGUCAUACUUUCAUUAAAAGCAAUAUGUGGAGAGAACUGAGCUAACUCAGUGAAAUGAUGAUCUUAUAAAACUAAUAAUUAUAUUAUUAUUAUAAAAAAAUUUAAUAUUUAAAUUAUAGAUAAUUAUAUUUUUUUAUGUCAUUCAAAUUUUUUUUUUAUUUGAGCUAUAAGCGCAUAACUAAAUUCGCUUUCUAUAAAGAUUAAUAUAGAUAAGAUUCAUAAUCCUUUUUACCGAUAGAACGGAAACUAAAAAUAAGAUCUAACAUAAAUAAGCGAAGAGAAAGCUCUUCACUUUUUUUCCAAUAAGGGAAGAAUAAAGGAGAUGAGAUGCAUUUAUUGAAUCCGAUAUAAGUUUUUAGCUCCUCUCUAUUUAUAAACAGGUCGAACAUAAAUAAUUAAUAUAAUUUCUCGUAUUAAGAGCAUCUCUUAUUACUAAAUAACCGUAAUCCAAUUCAACUUUCCUUCUAUUGCUCGAGAUCUUACGUUUAGGAGCGGUUGCCGCAGGGAUCAUCGAGUCCCGGUCUCUCGACCGGCUCCGCCACAUCGUCGCCAAUGCUGUCUUCCGCGGCGAGCCCGGCGUCGUCGCCAACGUCCGGGCCAUCGCCGACCGUGACCACAGCCAGCGAAAGUUCUUUUCUGUCCGUCGCCUUGGGACGGAGACCACCACCGAUUCCGUCCGCUCCCUCUUUUCUGCCUAUGGCGAGUUCGAGGAGGCUGCCGUCAUCGUCGACAGGGCUACUGGGAAGAGCAAGGGCUAUGGGUUCAUCACCUUCCGCCACGUCGAUGGUGCCCUUCGUUCUCUGAAGGAGCCCUCCAAGAAGACUGACGGACGAAUGACCGUCACCCAGCUUGCCGCCGCUGGAAAUGCCGACAGCCGUGAACGUUCCUGCCGACAGCCGUCGGAUCGCCUUCUCGCCCAUUUCUCCUCUUAUGAAGGGAUCGAGGAGGGGCCGCUAGGGUUUGAUAAGCAGACGGGGAAGUUCCGGGGGUUCCCUCUCUUUGCCUACAAUACUGCAGAGGGGGCAAGGAACUCACUCGUUGACCCUACCAAGAACGUCGAUGGCCACCACUUGGUCUGUAGUGUUUCAAUCGAGGGAAAGAAAGGGAAGCCAGGCGCCUCAGCACCAUGUGCUGUCCCUAUGGGCAGUGUCUAGGGCAUGCCAAUGGGCGGUGGUGCUGAUAUGGGUUCUAAUGGGCUCAGACUCGGUGCUCAGUCUUCGCUGCUGAGUUCUCUCUCGAGCCAGUAUGGUGGCCCAGCCAGUAUGGUGGUCUCAGCUCACAUGGUGGUUUCUCUGGUGGUGCGCUGCCUGGUGCCAUUGGACUGAGACACCAUCACAGUCUGGGCUCUUCCUUGCCAUCGUCAAUGGGUCCUGGCAAUCCAGGUCUGUUGGUAGUCAGGUUCCUUCGUCGCUUGGUGGUGCUGCAGCUGGAGGAUGUGGUGGAGGCUUGGGUGGUCCCGUUGAACCUUCUUCACAGUUUGGUGGCCCUGGCGUUGGUGGGUAUGAAAGUUUUGGCACGGGCUCAUCACUGUAUUGCGUGCCUCCGAUGCCUUCAGGUGGUUAUCCCGUGAGUCCUGGACAGAGGAUUUCUGGUAUGUUGGGUCCAGCCCAUAUGUGGGCUUGGACAAUUGGGCCUAUUGAGUUCAAAUCAACAAGAAAUUAAAAAGAGGUGAGAGAAGGUGAGGAAAAAAUAAAUCAGAUUACAGCAUGCAGCGUGCCGUGCUGAGGAAAAAGGAGAGAGAAAUAGAGAGAUUAGGUUUCUGAGUUUUCUGCUUGACGAUCGGUGGCCAAACGUUGUCAGUUUUGAUCCAAAUUUUAUGUGAAGAAUCCUUGCAGCAAACUCUACAAUUCUAACGGUGUUGAUAUGCAGUUUACUCUCUCUAAGGUACUUUCCUGCGAUAUCCACUUUGUAAGACCUAGAAUUCUCUUUUGAGGAGAUCCAUCCUUUAUGACGAAGAUAUGCUAUUCUUGAGCCAAAAUCUAUUUCUGAUCCUCUAGUUAUUCUAGAGAAGACCUACUGUAAAUCUGUUAUUAUUAUUAGUGAUUGAUUAUUUGUUCUAUUGUUUAUAUUGUGCUGAUAUUUUUAUUUGGACAUCAAGUUGGUAUUUUGAUGAGAAACCUAUUUUAAUACACAAAGAGGGAAAGAAUUAUUUCGCUUUAACAUGUUUUUCCCAACAAGGUUUAUAUCCAAAUGUGCCACCUUAUUAUUAAGGUAAUAUAUUUACAUAAUAACAUUCAUUUCUCAGCCUUUUAUAUGGCAAGUUCUUAAUGUUUACUUUGUCAGCUUUAAUGGUCUUUAUUUGGAGUCACUUCCUCCUAUAUUUAUGAUUAAGCCCUGUAAUUUGGCUGGAGUCUUCUUUGUUAAUUUAUGAUCUUUUCUAAAUCCAAAGUGGCAAAAUAAGAACGGAAACUGUAGUAAGAUUUGUGACAUUUUUAAUAUCUUGCAUGGUUUGCAGUAUCGGUCCGACAGACUUCCGGUAUGCGGACCGUCUGUUAUCGGUCCGGUACUGUAGCAGUACUGUAGCAUUGCUCGGCACGGCUGAAUAUACCGCUCGGUACACCUGGGUGUACCGAGCGGUAUACCGUACCGUACCGGUACCGAGCCCAGGUCGAAACUCCGGUACGGUAUGGUAUUGCGAACCUUGAUAUCUUGUGCCAAAUUGUUACUUUGCUUGUAGGCUGCUUGGGUCUUUCAACUACGUAAGAUUUCAGAUUAUGUUUAGUGACCUCUUAGAGUUGGUCAAGACACACUCAAUCUAAGACGUGGUUAAUCCUCAAAUUGGCAAAGGGAAAUAGAUUAAUUCUACCAAAGAAUCUGGCUGUAGAAUGUUUAGAGUUUAUAUGAUACCAGAAAGUGGACUUUGACUAUUAAUUCUACCAAAUUAUCUUGUUAGUGGACUAUAUUGUCUUGCCAUUCGACGUUUGCCAAAGACUUCAAGUAGGAAGAUAGUUUCUUCCAGGGACUUAAAGUAGGAGGAUAGUGUCUGCCAGAGAAUUAAAACAGGAAGAUAGUCUCUGACAGUAACUUAAAGUCGGAAGAUAGUGACAUUUGAAUAUAUCAAUUUUAAAAAAAUUAAAAAUUAUAUUUGGAUGAACCUAAUGAUAUUCUACUAUUGAUUUUAAUGGAAGUACUUUAGAUUGUGGUGAUACAGUUUUCUCUACAUAAAUUAUGGGGCAUGCAGGUACUGUUAAGGCGUUAUGUACUUUUUACGUGCGUUUUGGAUAAGAAUGAAAUGAAUGCAACGUCAAAUAUGACAUUUGAGCUUAUGUUUCUUAUUUGUUCUUUCGAUAUGCUCCGAAAUAUUUCACAUGCCAUUGAUAUACUCCAAAAUAUUUUAUACGUCAUUGAUAUACUCUGAAAUAUUUCAUACACCAUUGAUAUGCUUUGAAAUAUUUCAUAUGUCAUUGAUAUGCUUCGAAAUAUUUCAUACGUCAUUGAUAUACUUCGAAAUAUUUCAUACGUCAUUGAUAUGCUCCAAAUACUCUUUACUCCAUUGUUAUGAAUAAUGUAUGUUUUAAAUGAAAUGACAUUUAUGAUUCUGUAUCUAAUGAGAUAAUAUCUAUGAAUUCUUAUAUCCCUGCCUUGUAUUUUGAUACCAAGUUUGUUUAAAAUUAUCAUAUCUUGUCAUGGAUAUAUUAGUCGCUUACUGAGCUUUGUAUACUCACUUUGUUGCUAUAUAAAUUUUUCAGGAUAGCUUGUCGCUUGUUAAAAUGUUAAAAUUGGACUGAGGCAAUUGAACACUAUUCAGAUUGUUUAUCAUUGUUUUUGUAACGGUUAAUUGCUAAUUUUUAUUAUAACAUACAUUUGUUUACUGAUUUUUGUGUGUUAAGUGUUUGCAUUCUCUUUUUUUUGCCAGAUAAUUAAGUCAUUGAUUUUGUUAAUGCUUGUGUAACUGCAAAAGAUAUUUUCAUUUGCUGAUUGCUUAUUUGGUUUGGAUUAAGUCUUAGGUUAUGUGUUCCUGAGCAAUUCAAGUAUCUAGCUAGAUUCUUUAUCAAUGUGGCAUAUCGGAGGAUGUAGGAUUUCUUCUAACAAAUUUGACUAGCAUACCCUUUAUCAUGUAUAGGGAUGCCAAGUGUCUCAAUGGCAGUCAUUUUUGCUGGGGAAAAUUUUGUAUUAGACUAUGUCGGUCCCUACUAUCUUGGCUCGUCUUAUUGUCCAUGCAUCAUUUGAUUGAUAAAAUAAAAUUGGGUAAUCUUUGGUUGCAUUGUGGUACUGUCGAAUGAAAUAUUUAUGUUGGAAAUUAAUGGUUUAUCUGUCUGGUAUUAUCUAUCUUAAUCUAUUUUUAUGGCCAAUGUGCUUGAUUUUUUGUUUGUGCUUUGUGUUCACUACCUGCAUUCUUUAUUUGUUAUGUAUUCCAUGAUUCUUGGUGCAUAUGGUUUUCUUCCUCGCUGUGCAUUAACUUUUGUGUAGUUGUUGAGGAGAUGCUUGCUUCUCGAAUCUCCAAUGAAGCUUGCUUAUUUUUAUAGAGUUCAAAACUAUUGUGGAAUACAAAAUAAUGCAAUGAGUUGCACGUGGAGUCGAAAAUAAUGUUUUCCUUUUUUUCGAUCAAUUGGAAACCGACCUUCCUGAAAUUGGCUUCAUUGUCGGAGAUUUUUUGGACAAUAUACCGCGGUUCGAUCUCCUCUAAUAUGGUAUCCAUUAGGUUUUCAAUAUAGUUUGAUUCUUGAAUCUUAUCGGAAGCAUUACUAAAAACCACCUGUUUGUUGUAAUAAACAAGAAAAUUGAUGAUACUCAUUCUUAUUGGCCCUAUCCAAUUGUCAUACAUCACUGUCACCCCAUAUUCAUCCUAUUGUCUUUUGAAGAAUUUGAUCUAAUCCUUCAGUUCUGCCACCUCCUUAUCUAAAUAUACGUCGUGCAUCUCCUUCGGCAUUAGAGGUUGAAUCCCUUUGAAUAGAGGAGAUCAUGCUAUGAUAAUAUGAAUCUUGGGCUGUGUUUGUUGGAAUCCUGUGGAAGUUGAACUAUUUUGCAAUUGUCUUUCCAAUAUCCUAUUUCUUUUCUUUUGUAUAUGCAUCAUCGAUCCGUGUCUACUUCGCUAUUUGUGGAGGAUAGGUUUGCGGAUCAAUAUCAAUAAUAUCUGGUGCUAAACUCUUACCAAGCUCUCUUAUAAUGAUGAUGGUUCUCAUCUUCUUUCGAGCAUGAUUUUAAUCGUUAUAAUGUGCCUAUUCCUUUGGUGUCAUGUUCUUACCAAAAUUGAAUCAAAUAAUAAGGUGCAAUUAUACGUAAUGAACCUUGCUUAUUACAGAAUGUUAAGGGACAGGUCAGAAGUUAGACAAGAAAGAGAAUUAAUUAGAGCACUAGACUUUUCAAUGAUAAAAUUUGAGAAACCACCAUAGAUACUUUCUAGUAAAGGAGUAACCAAAAUAUUCAACAAAGAAAGGAUACUUGAACCUGAUUCUCAAAUUGCAGUAAGUGAAAUAUCAAUGCUCUAAGUCUCUUUGUCCCUGAAUGAAAAAAAAAAAAAAAAAAGCAACAUGCCUUGAUCAUAACAUGAAUGAAAGGUAAGCCUCAACAUAUGACUGAAGCAUCACAAAUGGAAGUCUAUAAGGAAAUUGUUUGAGGUGAAAUAUCUUUGAGCAUGAAGCAAUUUGCGAACAACUUAAUCUAUAAUCAUAGUGACAUUAGGCAAAAUCUCAUUGUAUGAAGUUGAAAAUAUUGACAGUUAUGACUAAUAGUAGACAUUUGCUGUAAUAUUGACAAUAAUGGAAAGACCCUUACCGUAAAUUUGUGAAGGAAAAGGUGAAAAAGAGGAAAAAAUAUGAUGGAACUUAAAAAUCGUGUCCUUCUUAAAAUCCAUAUGCAGGCUCAACAAAAAAAAUAACAGAUGACUUCUAAAUUUUUUGCAAAAUCAGUUCACUUAGUAUAUCACUAAAAUGCAUUGAAGUAAUUCUUGGAAUAACUGAACUCUUCAAAACAAUUUGAAAUAUUUCAUUAAGAAGUUCAGAAAGCACAGAAAAAGAGGGAGGGGGACCAAUUCAUUAUGCGUGUUUAAACUGAGCUUCUAGUUCCAAUGAUACAUUGUCCAAAGAUGUAACAUUCAAUCUUGCGAGUUCUUCCUGUUUUCUUUCAUUUUGUUAGUUCAUUUAUGACAAACAAUGUCUAGCAUAUUAGCUUGGAGAUUUUAUAUAAAAUCAUACACUUUUGAGGAAAAAAGUAAACUGGUUGUUCAUUCAUGUACAUAUUCUCUCAAAUUUAUAUUGAAAGUGUGAGGCUUCAAGUCAAACACUAACAAGCACCUAGUAGAAGGAUCUUUUAUGGAUGACUCCAUGUCAGGUAGAAAUAUUCAGACCAUUUGAAACAUAGGGGGGAACAACAAAAUCUGACCAGUAUGAAUAAUUAUUAUUCUGGAUAAUAAGGGUGAACUAACCAUAUAUGCGCAUCAAUAAAAAAAAUGCAUAAUUUCAUAACAUAAAACUGAUUUCUAGUUUUAUAAUUCAAACACCAACAAUCAUUAAUCAAGAGAAAAAGAAGGUUGUAUAUGCACCUUCCCCUUGUUGCAAAGGGUGCACGCACUUUUGGCCAUGAGCUUCACUGCAGCUUCUUAUUUAUCUCAAUCAAGCUCUGGAACUUUCUGAGGAUCAUCAAUCUCCACCGUAUUAGCCUUGUCCAUAAGGUCAAUGAUAAUUUACAAGAUAUAUAUGACGGUGGCAAGGGGCAUAGAGGUAGAGGUGCUGGAAGGGAUGAUAACUUUGGUGAUGGAAACUUCAAAUGCUUACCCAAUAUUCAAUUUGUUUCUCCAUUACAACCAACAAGAUCAUGAAUAGAUUAUUAUAAAAAAUGAUGACUUAAAUAAUUCAAUCGGAAUUAUCAUGUCAAAUUCAAACUUGGUACCACGUGAUAUUACUGGAAUCGCAAUAAAUAAUCACAACCGCUGCUGCUACCUUAAUCUCAGUAAACAAAUAGGGAAGUUGAAAACAAGAAAUACCAACUCAAAGGUCGGUGUUAUACUUACACAAGACAAAUUUCAGAUAUAGUGCUUGGAUGCUGAAACUUGUGGUAAAUGACCACAACAGUAGAAUUGAAAAAAUACUGAAAUAGUAGCCAUGUCAUUAAUUGGUGAACAUUUAUAUGAAACAUAGCAAGCUUGUCUAUCAAGCUCAUGAACAUUGCUACCACUCUGCUACAACUAUAGCUGAUUCAGCAAGAUAAAUCCCAUAGAUUGAAAUAAUUACAAAUUGGAAUCUUUAAUGAAGAUCCUAUUAAUCGGAAGGACCCAAACUACUCCACUAUCACUAUAAUGAAGCAUUUGUGAAUUGUUG